rnacentral:rRNA from 1 species
CCUACGGGUGGCAGCAGUGGGGAAUAUUGGGCAAUGGAGGCAACUCUGCCCCAGCAACGUCGCGUGAAUGAUGAAGGCCCUCGGAUUGUUACGCUUCUUUCUAAUGGAAGUAGACAGUGACGGUACUUCACGUUUAAGUCUCGGCUAUGCACGUGCCAGCAGCCGCGGUAAUACGGCGGAGGCAAGCGUUAUCCGGAGUGACUGGUUGUAAAGGGUGCUUAGGUGGUGUGACAAGUCAGUAGGGAAAGUCCGGAGCUCAACUUCGGAAAUACUGCUGAAACUGUCGGGCUUGAGUGCAGGAGAGGCAAUCGGAAUUCGUGGUGUAGCGGUGAAAUGCGUAGAUAUUAGGAGGAACGCCAGUGGCGAAGGCAGAUUGCUAGACUGUAACUGACACUGAGGCACGAAAGCGUGGGGAGCAAACAGGAUUAGAUACCCUUGUAGUC